UCCCCAAGUCCCCAAUGUAGCCCUCUUGUGAGCUCGCGGUAUUUUCCUUAAAUGAUCGAGCUCCGCUUGGCACAGCUGACUCGGAGCCUGAGAGGAUUAUGAAAACGUGUGGGGUAAGGUGGGGCUGGGGACCGGGGU